rnacentral:rRNA from 1 species
UACAGAGGUGGCAAGCGUUGUUCGGAAUUACUGGGCGUAAAGGGCGCGUAGGCGGUUCGUUAAGUCCUGUGUGAAAUCCCCCGGCUCAACUGGGGAACUGCACAGGAAACUAGCGGGCUUGAGUUCGGGAGAGGGAAGCGGAAUUCCUGGUGUAGCGGUGAAAUGCGUAGAUAUCAGGAGGAACACCGGUGGUGUAGACGGCUUUCUGGACAAUCACUGACGCUGAGGUACGAAAGCGUGGGUAGCAAACAGG